UACGAAGGUCCCGAGCGUUGUUCGGAAUCACUGGGCGUAAAGGGAGCGUAGGCGGCGCGGUAAGUCAGAUGUGAAAUCCCGGGGCUCAACCCCGGAACUGCAUCCGAUACUGCCGUGCUAGAGGAUUGGAGAGGUAGCUGGAAUUCUUGGUGUAGCAGUGAAAUGCGUGGAGAUCAAAGAGGAACACUCGUGGCGAAAGCGAGCUACUGGACAAUAUCUGACGCUGAGGCUCGAAGGCCAGGGUAGCGAAAGGG
rnacentral:rRNA from 1 species